GCUACUAAUAACUUUCCAAAUGGUUUUUAAGGUUCAUUUUUUAGUUUAUUAGACAAAUCACAUAAGAGAAUUGCCAUUUGUGUGUUGUGUAUCAAACUGAUAGCUGCUUUCGUUUGUUACAAUUUUACCCAUGAACAACGGUGUUUGUGGUAGCCGGCGAACACGAUGGUGGUGUUUUGUGGCGAUUAAGCAGCGGCAACAACGGUGGCUAGCGGCCACAGACACUCUCCGGCGUUAUCUGCAACCGAAUCAGCGCUGACGGUUCAAGGGUUUUAAGCUAGAUUAGCUGCCGAUGCGAUUUCGGUCUAAUUUAUCUUCUGGUGAACAUGCUGCUGGCUAAGAGGUUCAGGAAGAACUUAUUUGAUCCAGAAAUUAUGAAGAUGAAGAUUAGAACAUGUUCCACAUAGUGGGUUUUGCUUCUCAGGUAGCGAAUGUGGACUAAGUGUCUUCAAGCGAAUGGGAGUAGGGCUAAGUGUCUUCAAGCGAAUGUGGAACUACCCACAAACUGAAUAUGGAAUUAAGUUGACCUGGAUUAAUAUUUGAAUCAGCUGUCUUUUCCCACGUAUGCCUUCCAGUAUAACCCUUCAGAGAGGUGAGGAUGUCAUAUCAAUUGGCCACACAGUCUGCUCAUUCCGCACGACAUGACAAGUUGUUAGUUCAGACUGAGGAGCUUAUUCAAAAAGAAGCUGCAGAAGAUACAUAAUUUAUAAGCCAAUUGGAGAUCCGGUGGACCAGGCCUCAGGCUAAUACUCUUACAAAAGCAAGCUGCAGAUAGUGAUGCUGAAAUCUAAUGUUCUAGAGCCGUCAUGCAAGUUUUUUUUGUUAUCAUUUGUGAUAUUAUUUUUUUCUAAAUGGUUGACCAUUUUUGUAUGGCUAGUUUGUGUUCACCUGAAACACUUUGUCCAACUGUUUAGUUAUAUUUUAUUUUUUAGAUUAAAUGAUUUGGGAGAGAUCUAUGUAUUAAAGAUAUACUCUGGGCGCGACUAUAGGCCUCUAUGUGACCCAUUUCAUUCAAGCUUGCUUUUA